GACGAACGCUGGCGGCGUGCUUAACACAUGCAAGUCGAACGGAAAGGCCCUGCCUUUGUGGUGUGCUCGAGUGGCGAACGGGUGAGUAACACGUGAGUAACCUGCCCUUUACUUUGGGAUAACUUCAGGAAACUGUGGCUAAUACCGGAUAGGAGCUCCUGCUGCAUGGCGGGGGCUGGAAAGUUUCGGCGGUUGGGGAUGGACUCGCGGCUUAUCAGCUUGUUGGUGGGGUAGUGGCUUACCAAGGCCUUGACGGGUAGCCGGCCUGAGAGGGUGACCGGCCACAGUGGGACUGGGAUACGGCCCAGACUCCUACGGGAGGCAGCAGUGGAGAAUAUUGCACAAUGGGCGGAAGCCUGAUGCAGCAACGCCGCGUGCGAGAUGACGGCCGUCGGGUUGUAAACCGCGUUCGCCUGUGACGAAGCGUGAGUGACGGUAAUGGGUAAAGAAGCACCGGCUAACUACGUG
rnacentral:rRNA from 1 species